rnacentral:lncRNA from 1 species
CAAUAAGCCAUUAGAUCACUCAAUCUUAACCGGACCAAACCAAAGAGGAGGCAACCAAUCUAUUGAAGAUACUGUUCAACCCAAAAAGAGCCACGAGCAUUGUCCAGGUCAAAUGAAGUCCAAUAACAAGUGUUCCAGCCCAACUGCCACUUGGAUCACAUUCUUAGCUCAACCAGAACACGCCUCGAAGUGGAAUCAGUCCAAUUGGAGUUCAGAUGAAGGAGAUAUUGAGUUUAUAAAUCGGGUGAUCCUCUACUUACCCGAUUUGGACAUAUGCGCCUUAAUUGGAGAAUUCCGACUAAACCAGGAGGAAUUAAGCUAUCAACCGACUUGUUCUGGAAUCUUGACUCAUCAGAGAAUCACAG